CAGUCGAGCGGAACCUUUGGAGCUUGCUCCAUUGGUUCAGCGGCGGACGGGUGAGUAACACGUGGGCAACCUGCCCUGCAGAUCGGGAUAACUCCGGGAAACCGGUGCUAAUACCGAAUAGUUUGCGGCCUCUCCUGAGGCUGCACGGAAAGACGGUUUCGGCUGUCACUGCAGGAUGGGCCCGCGGCGCAUUAGCUAGUUGGUGGGGUAAUGGCCCACCAAGGCGACGAUGCGUAGCCGACCUGAGAGGGUGAUCGGCCACACUGGGACUGAGACACGGCCCAGACUCCUACGGGAGGCAGCAGUAGGGAAUCUUCCGCAAUGGACGAAAGUCUGACGGAGCAAUGCCGCGUGAGUGACGAAGGUUUUCGGAUCGUAAAACUCUGUUGUGAGGGAAGAACAAGUACCAUUUAACUGAUGGUACCUUGACGGUACCUCACCAGAAAGCCACGGCUAACUACGUGCCAGCAGCCGCGGUAAUACGUAGGUGGCAAGCGUUGUCCGGAAUUAUUGGGCGUAAAGCGCGCGCAGGCGGUCCCUUAAGUCUGAUGUGAAAGCCCACGGCUCAACCGUGGAGGGUCAUUGGAAACUGGGGGACUUGAGUGCAGAAGAGGAAAGUGGAAUUCCAUGUGUAGCGGUGAAAUGCGUAGAGAUGUGGAGGAACACCAGUGGCGAAGGCGACUUUCUGGU
rnacentral:rRNA from 1 species